GAUGAAGAACGCAGCGAAAUGCGAUAAGUAAUGUGAAUUGCAGAAUUCAGUGAAUCAUCGAAUCUUUGAACGCACAUUGCGCCCCCUGGUAUUCCGGGGGGCAUGCCUGUUCGAGCGUCAUUUCACCACUCAAGCCUCGCUUGGUAUUGGGCAACGCGGUCCGCCGCGUGCCUCAAAUCGACCGGCUGGGUCUUCUGUCCCCUAAGCGUUGUGGAAACUAUUCGCUAAAGGGUGUUCGGGAGGCUACGCCGUAAAACAACCCCAUUUCUAAGGUUGACCUCGGAUCAGGUAGGGAUACCCGCUGAACUUAAGCAUACAAUAAGCGGAGGA
rnacentral:misc_RNA from 1 species